AGAGAGAGAGCUCUUCCAGUCUUUAAAUACAGACACUGUGGGACAAGACGAGGCCUUGACUCACUGCAGCGAUCACAUGACCACACUGGAACACAUUCAAGGGCAAAAACCAAUCUACAGACAUUCAGCCAUGGAACACCCUGACUUUGAACUUCCUGUCCGUGAUACAAUUUCCUCAUUGCAUAAAAGUCUUUGACUUGACUUGACGUUAGAGUAUGAAGGCCUGGAUUUGACCCUUGGAACCCAAGUGGAAAAAGCUGGGCUUGGUGGUGUGUGCUUGUAAUCCCAGAGCAGGCCAGGCAGGGACAAACAGGUCCCUGGGGCUUGCUGCAUAGCCAAUCAGAUCCACUUGGAGGCAUGGCUUCUGGGGAAUAAUACCCAAGGCUGAUUUAUGACCUCCACAUGUGCGUGUACACACACCUGUAGACCCACAGGCGCACACACACACACAAACACACACAUGCAUGCACACACACACACACACACUCAUGCACACACCUCUGACUUUGAGCUUCUCUGCUAAUAAGUACUGGAGGGGAGGGUGGACAGAGAAAAGGGGCGGAGCCAGAGGCACAGGCUUGGCUGCUGGAACAGAGACGCGGAAAGCUCAGUCAGUGUGUGGUAAAUAUGAAGUCAAACGGUCCUCACUGCAUCAUUGUCCAUGCGGUCUCACCAGCAUGAUGCGUGGGUCAUUCCAGGCCCAGGGUACAUGGGCACAUCUUCUCCAUCCAUGAGCUGUCACUGCUGAGCCAAUGGAUGGGGAGGGCACGAAGCUCCCUCAGUCCUCUGGGCUGCUAAUGACACUCAUCACUUCUACUUUAGUCCACUGGCCAGAGGCAGCUACGUGGUCCCUCCACAUGAAGCCACUGCCUGUAUGAUGGUUGUCCACCCAAGAGAGGGCAGGGGCCUGGAACCAUCAGUUGAGGGGUCUCUGUCAUCAGCUCUGUGAUGGGUUUAAGCUGGGUCUUUGUGGCAGUGAUGGCCAAGAACGUGUGUGUGUGUGUGUGUGUGUGUGUGUGUGUGUGUGUGUGUGUGUACGCGCACUCGUGUGCGCGUACGUGCAUGUGAGAGGCCAGAGGCUGACUUCGGUUGCCUUCCUUAAUCACUCUCCAUCUUGCCUUUUGAAACAUGGUCUCCUACUGAACCUGGAGCUCACUGAUUGGCUAGGCUGGCUGGCCAAUGAGCUCUAGGGAUCCUCCUGUCUUCACACUCCCAGCCCAUGGUUUCAAAUGUGUACGCUGUGUCUGGCUUUUUAUGUGGGUGCUAAAGAUUUGAUGUCAUGGUCUCAUGCUUGUGCGGCAGGCAGUUUAGUGACUGAGAUAUCUCUCCAGCCCUGGAAAGGGGGGCUUUGAGUGAGUGGUGGGCACAGCAGGUGUUGAGGCUAGGUGUUGAUCCAGAGGAGAACCCAUUGGGUGGGGUCUGCACUCAAGAUGGAGAGGUAUAUAAACACGGUUAAGAAGAAUGAGAAUAGAGAGCCUGGAACUUGUGUCAACCUGCCUCUGCCCUGAGUUCCUCAUGGUUAGGAGCUGCGGUGUGAGCAGGGGCAAUCUCUCAUCAGUUAAGCACCUAGGACUCAGGAUGAAUCCACUGGAUCCCACACUGGAUCCUACACCCCGGGUAGAAGAUAAGGCUCAUCCCUUUGAGGGUGAGGAUUAGAGGAAGGAAGAGUCACAAACCCAGUCAGCAAGACACACAGGAAAUGUCAUUGUUAUCUUGCUAAUGAAAGGACUGCUUUCAUCCUCUGGAUUUGGGCAUGUUAGCUUAGGGCGACUGUGCAGAACGGCCCAGCAUCUGCAGAUCUCUGCUGCUGGGAAGCUGAGCUGGGGAGAGCCCUGCCCACAGAGCGGGGAAUUCCAGGCCUAACUGAGCUUUGCGGUGUAACCCACAAUGAGUGUCCAGUGACUUCAGACAAUCCUGCUUUUAGCUCCCUACAACCUGAGGACUUUGUAAUCUUUCAGGGAAGUGUGUGUGUGUUGGGGGGGGGUCCUAACUCCCCCCACACCCCCCACCCCCAGUUCUGGGGACUGAACCUAGGGCCUCAUACAUGCUGAGCAAUCAAUUUACAUUGCAGUCAGUAAGGCAUUGCAGGAGUGGUCAGGACCUGAGAUCCCAAGCUAGGCAUGGUGGUUUCUGCCUGUAACCACAACACUCAGGAGCGCGGGACACACACACACACACACACACACACACACACACACACACACACACACACACCACACAUACACACCAAACACUCCCAAAACAACGAUAAUGAACCAAAUGAGCUUCAGUCACGGCCUCAUCAUUGUGUGUCUGUGCCAGGCACUCUUCACAUUUGCAUACAGUGGGCCGAACCAGCUGGGCCCACAGUUGCCCAGGAUCCACAUGUGGUGGUCUCAGAUUUCUCCAGUCACUUCCAGGUGAAGCCUUGCGACAAUUUUGGGUAGCACAAUAAAGUCUCGAGUCCAGAAUUUCCUUGUUCAAAAUGACCUUUGUCGCAGGUAGUGGUCAAAGCCUCUAAUUAUAGUUACAACAGUGGUUGCUGUCCCUGUUCAGGGCAGGGACCACCUUAGGGAAGGGAGCUGGGAAACAGCUUUGCUCAUUUCUGCUCGCCUAACUGUAUUUAUUGUUUUUUUUAUCAACAUACAUUUAUACAUCUAUUAACUGGACAUAUUAGCGUGGUUCAGUGUGAUGUAUCUAUGUGUGCACACACGGUGUACUGAUCACAUCAGAUUUCUCUCACACUCUGUUCCCCACCUUUCCCUAUCCCAUGCAAUCACAGAUCUACCUCCAGGAUAACCUUUAGUUUCCACACAGGACAAGGAACAUGGGAAACUUGUUUUUCUGAAACUGGGCCCAUUUCGUCUAACAUCAUGUCCUCCAGUUCUGUUGUGUGACAGACGGACGGCAGAUCUCUUUCUUCUUUAGGGCCAAAUAAUACUCCGCUGAGUAUGCGUACCACAGUUUCUUUAUCCCCUUACCAGUUGAUGGACAUCUAGGUUGAAUCUGCUUGUCGACUGUUUUGAAUAGUGCUGUGAUAAACACAGAUGUGCAAGUAUCUCUGUAGCAGGCAGAUUAUAUUCCUUCAGGUAUGUAUCCUGGAGUGGUAUGGCAGGAUCAUGUGGUAGUUCUAUUUUUAGUUGUUUUGAAGAAGAGUGCUGAUUUCCAUAGUGGCUGGACUAGCUUACAUUCUAACCAGCAGUGUAUGAGAAUUCCCAUCAGCACAGCCAUUCUAGUGGGAAUGGGGUGGUACCUCAUUGUAGUUUCGAUUUGUGUUUCCUCAUGGCUAAUAUUGAGCAUCCACCCCCCAAAUAUUUGCUAGUUAUUUGAGCCCUCAGGGAACUAGAAAUCACCAGCCAGGGUUCAGAGAAGUGUGUGGUGUGAUGGGUAAUAUUACAUGUGGACUCCAACAUUCUGAGAAUUAGCCUCUCCCAGUCCCCCUAAAGGAACCUACAGCUGGAGGAACAUGCCUUUCCUCCAGGCAGUCCCGCUCUGCAGGGCCCUAGCCACAGGGCUGGCAGCUGUUUCUUUAGCCACAUUACUGCCUUGUUCUCUGAGAGAUCCCUCAGUCUGCCAGGACUUAACCAAUUUCCUAGAUUAAAUUUAUCCUGAUGAAUGACCUAUUUUACAUUUUGUUUUCCCGGCUAGACCCUGACUCUCCUCUGGUCAUUUAACAUUUCCCAAUCAACUACAAUCGAAAGGAGAUAUAAAUGAUAUACUACCUACAGUGGCCGAACUGCUUAAGGAGAAAGUGAUUAAUCUUUGCUCUCAUCGGUCAGAGGCUCCCAGGUGACCUGCACACAGCCACUUACCUUCACCUUAAACCCAGCAGGUGGCCGAAUCAGUCUAAACUAUGGCUGUGCUGUCUGCCCCUUGGGCAUUGCCCGGAGGAUGUGGGGGGCAGCAGUUGGUGGGGACUUCCAGGCUUGCCCAGAAGGAAACAAGAGGGCAGCCUGAUGCAGAGGGUGUGGUCGCUGACCUCGGGCUGGGUUUUUCCAGGUCUUCUUGGGGCUGGGCCUUUGUGGGAAGAAGUGGAAGUUCUCCUACCUCAAAAAAUUUUUUAAUAAAAGAUUUAUUUUUAUUUACGUGUAUGUGUGUAUGCCCCCUGUGUGAGGGAGCUGGAGUUGUGUUACAGGUGGUUAGGAGUCUGGGAACUGAGCAAGAGCCACAGUGUUCUUAACUGAACUCAACUGUCCGGCCUCUGCUGUCUCUUUUGAUCCACAAGAUUAUUUUCCAGACAGUCAGGGGAGUCCCACUUUUUUCAGUUUGUGUGUUUUAUCAGCUCCUUCUCUUCAUUCUCUUAGGUACAGCAGGAGAGCUGCUCCAUGUGGUCCCCAAUGUUUCUGUGUAGCUGCGUGCACGUGCCCACGAGUGCGUGUGCGUGCGUGCGUGCGUGCGUGUGUGUGUGUGUGUGUGUGUGUGUGUGCGUGUGUGCUCGCGCCCGUGUGUAUCCUGGCAAAAUGCCUUCAGUGUACUAUUUUAUUUAUUUUGGUUUUUUGAGACAGGGUAACCCUGGCUAUCCUGGAACUCGCUCUGAGACUAGGCUGGCCCUUAAACUCAGAGGUCAUCCACCUGCCUUUGCUUCCUGAGUGCUGGGAUUAAAGAUGUGCAUCAUCAUACCUGGUUUAUUUAUUUAUUUUGAAGCAGGGUUGUAGCUCAGGCUUGCCUCAAACUUACUUCGUAGCCUGAAGCUAAAUUCCUUGAUCUUCCUGCUUCGGCCUCUCAAGUGCUGAGAUUAAAGGUGGGUACCAGGAAGCUCUGGUUUAGGUAUAUUCUUUAAUUGUGACAGCAACCUUAAUCUAAGCCAUACCCUCUGACACUGUGGUGCAUGCUUGUAAUACCAGCACAGGAAGCUUGCACAGGACUGUGAGUUCAAGGCCGGACUGGGCUAGAUAUUGAGAUGCCGUCUCAAAAAACAAAAACAAACAACACAACAACAACAACGACAACAACCAGAACCAGCUUUACUAUCCCACGUGUCAGAUGCCAAGACUCAUCCUGACGGAAAUUCACGUGACAUGUCAGAGAUAAUGGACUCAACAUGGAUCCAAUGUCCAGGGCCUCUGUUCCUGCCACGAGAACAAUGUUUUUCCAGGCUUUCCUGAGUGCUGUGGUCCUGUGAGUCCACAAGUACCUGUGAGUCAGUCUGAGACCUGUGGGUGCUAGUGACUGCCCAGGUAGGUAGAGGUUGGUAGAAUACACCCUGCCCCCACAGGGGAACAAGUCCUCAAGGUCUUGCCUGGCCAGAAAGGCAGGUCUGGCUUAGGGGUUUUGCAGAGUGGAGGUUCUAUGUCAGGAGAAGGGCUGACCUUGCCUGUAUUUCCAUAAGGGAAGCAGAUGGUUUGGGAAAAUCCAAUUUAAAAGGAGAGAAAUUGAAUUAGUUUUCCAGGGGUCUGAUGGCCAAGACUUGAAUGGGGACAAUUGCAUUAUCUGCCAGGACUCACCAAGCCAGCGCGAAGGCUGGGGGUGGCUGCACCCCCCACGCCCCGUCACUUAGGCCUGCAGAGUGCGGGAUAGAAGAGAACAGCUUCCGUGAGGAGUCCUUAUUGGACAUGUCAUGGGACUUCUCCUUUCUCCUCAGACACGUUCUGCAACUUAGACAAAACUAAUGGCUGACCUGUUUCCACAACCAGAACCAUACUACCUGUCUUCAAACGCUUGAAUGGAGAAGGGAUCCGGGGCCACAGUGAAUUGUGGGAUUUGAGAAAGUGGGAUCUGAGAAAGCUAACUUGACUCACCCUUUUAGAUUGUCUAGCAAAAUAUACCCAACAUACAACAUUCCAUUUCCACCAUUUUAAACCGUACAACACACUAGCCCUGUUUCUCUUCCUACUAUUUGUUUGUCUGUUUGUUUGUUUGUUUAUGGUUUUUCAAGACAGGGUUUCUCUGUGUAGUUUUGCGCCUUUCCUGGAACUCACUCUGUAGCCCAGGCUGGCCUCGAACUCACAGAGAUCCGCCUGCCUCUGCCUCCUGAGUGCUGGGAUUAAAGACGUGCGCCGCCACAGUCUGGCACUAGCCCUGCUUCUUUACACCUUCCCCAAACUUCGUUAUCCCAAACAGAAUCUCCGGACUCAUUAAACAGUAACUCCCGAGCCAGCAAGAUGGACGACGACUCAGUGGGUAAAGGCGCUGGCCGCUGAGCCUGAGGACUUGAUUGAAUUCAGCCCCUGGAACCCACACAGUGGGAAGAGAAGUAACUCUCACAAGGUGUCCUUUGAACUCCACAUAUGCAUGAACUGUGGUAUGAAUUCCCCCUCCCUGGCUAAAUAUAAACAUAUGUAAUUAAAAAGUAACAACCCCCCCUCUAGUUAUUUCCUGUUUUCCUCUCCCUAGCUGAGUUCCCUCUGAUCUACUUUCUGUCUACUUUGUGUCUGGCUUAUGUCACUUACCAUAGUGUCUUCAAGGUACACUCAUGUUGCUGUGUCACA